AUUGAACGCUGGCGGCAUGCCUUACACAUGCAAGUCGAACGGUAACGGGCCUUCGGGUGCCGACGAGUGGCGAACGGGGGAGUAAUACAUCGGAACGUGCCCGAUCGUGGGGGAUAACGAGGCGAAAGCUUUGCUAAUACCGCAUACGAUCUACGGAUGAAAGCCGGGGACCGCAAGGCCUAGCGCGGGCGGAGCGGCCGAUGGCAGAUUAGGUAGUUGGUGGGAUAAAAGCUUACCAAGCCGACGAUCUGUAGCUGGUCUGAGAGGAUGAUCAGCCACACUGGGACUGAGACACGGCCCAGACUCCUACGGGAGGCAGCAGUGGGGAAUUUUGGACAAUGGGCGCAAGCCUGAUCCAGCCAUGCCGCGUGCAGGAUGAAGGCCUUCGGGUUGUAAACUGCUUUUGUACGGAACGAAAAGCCUUCUUUUAAUACAGGAGGGUCAUGACGGUACCGUAAGAAUAAGCACCGGCUAACUACGUG
rnacentral:rRNA from 1 species